GGGCCACCUAUAUAACACACACACACAACAAAAUAUUAUUACACACCAUAUCGACCAAAACUGGAACAGAUAGAUACAAUAACCGUAUUCUUAUAAUCAUAUAAGAGAACUAAAGGGUGGAGAAAGAAAAUGAGAAUAAAAGUAGAAAGAACAAAUGAAAGAAUGAGAAAAUGAUAUUAAAAAAUUACAGAAAGAGUGAACAGAAGAAAAGGAAUGCAGGAAGGAUAGAAAAAAAGAGACAAAGGAAAAAGAAAAAAGGAAUAAGGUUCAAAGAAAGAAUGAAGAAAAAAAUUAAAAAGAGAAAAACAAAGAAAGACAUGAUAAACUGACAGACAGAUGAAAGGAAUAAUUUAGAAAUAAACCUGGAGAAAGAAAAAGAAUAAGGUCAAAGGAAUGAACAAGAAAGAAAGAAAGAAAGCUGAGAAUGAAGGAGAAGGAAUAAGGUCAAAAAGGACAAAUGAAUGAAAAAGAAAAAGAAGAAAUUGAAAAAAGGAAUGAGAGAAUGAACAAAAAAUAAAAUAAUAAAUGAAAGAAAGAAGGAAAGCAAGAGAAAGGAAGAAUGAAUAAAUAAAUGAAUAAAAAUAAACGAAGGAAAGAAAGACAGGAGCAAGAAAGAGAAGAAAUAAAGCUGAAAAAGACUAAUAAAAAAAAACACAGAACAAAGGAAAUAAAUAAUAAAUAUAAAUCAACAAAAAAAUAUAUAAAUGAAAGAAAGAAAAAAUUAAAACUUUUAUUAUUAUUAUAUUAAUAAUAUUACUACUACUACUACUACUAAUAAUAAUAAUAAACUCAUUAGUUUGCUAUGUAGCUAUUAUCAUGUAAUAACUGACUAAAUAAAGGAAAAAUUAAGACGUUUUAAAAAUGGGAUUUGACGUUUCAGGGGCGGAGCUCCAACAAAAAAAAAAAACAAAAAUCGCCACACUUCUGAACGAUCACAUUGGAUAUGCAGAUUAAUUAGAGGAAGCUAAUCGAACCCUGUGCACUUUUACCUGCAGAACCUCCGGGCUAAGCUAGCUACCUAAUUGGCUGGCUACGUUAGCUAAUGUUAGUAAUGAACAGAUCUUGGUUGCUAUGGUAACAGUACCCAUAACCUAUGCAUGAGCAGUUAGCUUAUCAGCUAGCUAUGCAAGCUAAUGUGAUAGUACGAGGGCAAUAGGCGUGUCCAGAUUAGCAUAUUCAUAGGUCCUGAGAUUUGGGUUGAGGUUCUGGAGACUCUUGUUGAGGUUGCGUGUGCUGCUGGCCGCUCGGAUGUUGGUGUAGGAGUUAACGGAGCGGAGACGAGGGACCGCCGGACUGUCUCGCUCCCUCACCGGAGUCACGUUCCCCACCUCUGACAAGACAAAACACCGACCGAAAACACACACACAUACACAGUUAUUUGUGUCACAAUUAAAGCCAUGAUUUAUAGCUUACCUGCUAAUUAAAGCCAAGAUUAAUACUACAGGUGAGCUGUGUGUGUGUGUGAGUGUGUGUACACCUGUAGUGUUAGCAGGUGAGGGAGCUGCAUAGUUCUUCUCCUCCUCCAUGAACUGCAGAGCGACAGUACAGAAGUUGCUCUCAUACUGAACCACCAGGUGACUCAGAGCCACCACCAGCUCCUGCACACAGGGAACAGACACUCACACUGUCCACAGCGAGGAUUUUGGCCCAGAUGAAGACAAGGAGAGGACGAAGCUCUCGCGCUGAACUCUGUAACAACUUCAACACAUACGGAAAUAUCCCUACAGACAAAGCCUGAGAGAGAGAGAGAGAGAGAGAAAAGUGUAUUCUUGUUUGCUCCUCUUCAGAAGAUGAGUGUGUCCGUGUCCACGCUUCUGAUUAAUGUGGAAAGUAAAAGGUCUCACAGCACGAGGUGACUUUAACACAAAGGACAAACCGAAUCCCAUUAAACUGUCUGUUAAUCACACACACAGAAGCUAUUCGUACCCUUUCAGUGUAAAGUGGGUGGGGCUAAUGUUAGGUAAGCUUUUUUUUUCACUGUUCAAAGUAAAAGUUAAACUAAAGACUGAAAGUUAAAUGAGUUAACUAGUAACUGUUAAUAUGUUAAAGUUAAAACUAGCCAGUGAAAAUGCUAAUCUUCAAAAGUGAACGUUAAACUAGUGUUGAAUCUGUCAGUAUUUUCAGCGCUAAACCGCAGCACAUGAAUUUCCCUUUACAGGAAAAAUAAACUAGCUGUUAUUUAUCAGCACUCUGAUUGGUGAAGUGUGUGUGUGUGUGUGUGUGUUUAAUUUUCCAAUCGGCGCUCCUAUGGGAGCUGUUUGCGUUGAUUAAAGGCACCAAAUGACACAUUAGCGUCUCACAUCGCCACCUUUACUGCGUUUAUCUCCAUUUAAUUCCUGCUUCAGCAGCACAAACAGCACUUUACUCAUUUUAUAACACCAAGAACCCUGCGUGUAUGUGUGUGUGUGUGUGUGUGUGCAAUGUUACCAGGCUGACGGCCCA